rnacentral:rRNA from 1 species
UACGGGGGGGCAAGCGUUGUUCGGAAUUACUGGGCGUAAAGGGCUCGGUAGGUGGACCAACUAAGUCAGACGUGAAAUCCCUCGGCUUAACCGGGGAAUGGACGUCUGAUACUGGGAUGGCUUGAGUAUGGGAGAGGGAUGUAGAAUUCCAGGUGUAGCGGUGAAAUGCGUAGAUAGUCUGGAGGAAUACCGGUGGCGAAGGCGGCGAUCCUGGACCAGUAACUGGACGCUGAGGCGCGAAAGCUAGGGGAGCAAACGGG